GAAGGCAAAUUUCCUUCAUUCACAGGUGGUGCAAAAGGGACUGAUUUCCUUCUGUACAUUUUCCUUGGUUUGUCACUACUUGUCAACCUUUUAUUACUUUUAUGGUUAGCCAAACAAAAAAGAUGUGCAUCUUGUGGAAUAUUUAAGAAGUUUCAGGAGCCUCACCAAGACUCCCAUGAGAGCAAUCUACAUUACGCUGAAGUGAUGACUUCUGAAAUCCGUCAGCAAAGGAAAGAAGCGGAAACAAGGACAACGUAUGCUGAAGUACAGAUGAGGAAAGCUUUAUAAAACUGAACUUCAGACUCUGAAAUGGGCUCAUUUGUCAGCCUUACCUCCUUCUAUCACCACAGUGGUGACUAAGAACUUUCUUUUUUAUAUAGGAUAUGAAAACAUAAAUAUAAAUAUAAUGUGUUAUUCUGUAUGGAUCAUUGAAUACAUAGCACACAAAUUAAUGACUUUCUUUAUUCAUCUCUAAUCUAUCAUUUGUAUUUAUUUCAUACCUUGACAGUUGUAAUGCUGUGUCAUUCUCUGUUGUACCAUUGCAAAUUGUCA